GGGAGUUUGAGGUUCAGAUUACUUAGGGUGCUUUUCUACUGUCCUGGUGAAAUGGACUUUGUAUUCCUGAGUAGGCUGUUUUUCUUCAUGUUUUCUACCAUUUCUGUGAAAUAGUUUUGGAGACUCUAUGAGCUAGUUACAUUGGCGAUGACUUCUCAGAACAGGAAAAUCCUGGUGGUGCUACUUCCCUGUGAAGUAGUUUGGCAGUUCAGAAGCUGGCAGGCAAGUCUCUGAUACCUGGCCAAGAUGGACAAAGGAGAAGGACAAGGACAAAGCCUGGGAGGAAGACUUUGAGCCUUCAGCACAAGAGACCCCCAGAAGGACCACCGGGGACUGAUAUGCACGUGCCAGUGGGAGGGUUCGGAAUCCGGGAACUAAUUAUAAUAACCCUGCCUUUUCUAGAAGUAGUAAUGAAUAUGUAUUAGCCUAGGAGCAGAAAAAGCAGCUGCCUGGUGUAAUGUCUGUGCAUGUUGGAGGAGCCCAGACUCCUUGCGCAUGCAGCGCUGUUUACCUGCCUUUUAUUGAACCUAUAAAUAAAUCUUAAAGCUAAAUUGACUUGGAA